UCACCUCCAUCCUUAGUGAAGUCUGGGUGGCCGUCUCAGCAGACAAAGCUGCUGAGCUGCCUGCCGACAGGACAAAGUGGACAAGGUACCUCCCCAUCCACAAGACCUGUCAGGGUCUGGAUUCCCAGCACAGUCUAACCGACUAGCAAGCCAUCCAGAGGAUGACGUGGACC
rnacentral:lncRNA from 1 species